AAGCAAGCCUGGGCAAUGGCGGGCGCCCCUCCGCCAGCCUCACUGCCGCCUUGCAGUUUGAUCUCAGACUGCUGUGCUAGCAAUCAGCGAGACUCCGUGGGCGUAGGACCCUCCGAGCCAGGUGCCGGAUAUAAUCUCGUGGUGCGCCGUUUUUUAAGCCCGUCCGAAAAGCGCAAUAUUCGGGUGGGAGUGACCCGAUUUUCCAGGAGGGGGAGGAGCCAAGAUGGCCGAAUAGGAACAGCUCCGGUCUACAGCUCCCAGCCUGAGCGACGCAGAAGACGGGUGAUUUCUGCAUUUCCAUCUGAGUGAACAUAGAUUCCUUCAGUAAAUAUUGGGAAAACAUUUGCUUCAGGCCCAUUACUGGGUACCGCUUUGAUACAGAGGACACACCAAGGAACAAGACAGAUAGGACCUCUGCCUCUGGUAAGUUUGCAUUCCAGAGGGAGGAGAAGACAAUAAGCAAGCAAGCCAUCAAGACCACGUCAGAUGAGACGAAUAAAGUCAGACAGCUUCCAAGGAGUGGAUGCUUAUGGAGAGAUCAC
rnacentral:lncRNA from 1 species